CAGUCGCCGCGGGAAUACAGAGGGUGCGAGCGUUAAUCGGAUUUACUGGGCGUAAAGCGUGCGUAGGCGGCUUCUUAAGUCGGAUGUGAAAUCCCUGAGCUUAACUUAGGAAUUGCAUUCGAUACUGGGAAGCUAGAAUAUGGGAGAGGAUGGUAGAAUUCCAGGUGUAGCGGUGAAAUGCGUAGAGAUCUGGAGGAAUACCGAUGGCGAAGGCAGCCAUCUGGCCUAAUACUGACGCUGAGGUACGAAAGCAUGGGGAGCAAACAGGAUUAGAUACCCGGGUAGUCCCUGUCUCUUAUAC
rnacentral:rRNA from 1 species